UCCAGGUACCAACUUGCUCUUCAGAUGACACGUGACCUCGCUCUAGUCGUAGCAAUACAAACAACAUUGUAUAGGCAAAAUUAACAUUACACCAAACAUGUAAAUAAAAUACACAGUAAAAAACCUACACAUUAAAAUAAGAUCACAGGAACUGGAAUCAUUAAAUUUGGAGUUAUAGAUUUUAAGUUAUGAAUUUUCAAAGGUUUUAUGUGUUUAAAAUGGAUUAAGUGAGAGAUUGAAUUUCUAAUUGUUUUCAUGACAAAACAGAGGCUCUAGGUGGUAGAUAAUAAAAUUACAAAAUUUUAGAAAGUGGAAUGGUUCAAUUUGGAGCUAAAAUGAAUUUUCUAUGAAUUAACUAAGUUCUAGUAAUUAUUUUCAUAUUAAAAAUCCAUUUUCUAUUUCAUUUAUUCAAAUUAAAUGAGUUCUGGACUGGGCCUCAAUUCCUGGAAAGUCCAGGGGUCUCGGGGAAAGAUUUCCAAGACACAGCGCAUAGUGACUAAAGGACGGCGGGUUGAUUUCUGCUUUCCUUGGGGUCUCUUUAGAAAAAUGCCCCGCGAAGGGGUAUCGGAUGGGCUGAGCCGUCCGAUCAGAAACGGAGGGCUCAGAUUAGAUCGACCCCAUCCCCAGUCGGUACGCGAUCCAGUCCGUUGGAUCGUGAUCCGAUGGUUCCGGAUUCCUUUACCUUGCAUUAAAUCCAACGCGUUCGCCCCGCAUCGGACGGUCCUAACAAACCGAGAUCGAAUCGUUACCCGGCUUCUAAUCCUGGCCAUCCGUCUCCGCAUCAACGGCCCCGGUGUCUCCCCCAAUUCCUCGCCGAGCGACGGUGGCGCCGCCCAGGGCUCACGGCGGAGCACGCCGGCGAGGUUUGCAAUCGGCCGUUUCCGAACGCUAAACAAGAAUUGAACCGAGCUACACGUAGAGACGGGAAAGACGAACUGAAGGGUGGACUUAAUACCUUGGUUUGGAACGGUGGCAGCACUGACCAGACGAGCGCGCGGCCCGCGGUGGUUUCCUGGCGACGUCGAGCAAUUCCCGCCCCCGAGAAGUCCCUCAGCGUCGGCCAAAGCUUCGUAUGGCUGCCCCACAACGUCGCCGAGCCAACCCGGUCCCAAUCGAAGGACCAAAUCGCCGGCCAAACCCACGCCGAUGCUCACGACACUCACUCCUUCCUUUCCGUCCACGGUUCACUGGAUAUCCGUCGAGAUGGAUAAGGAAGCUAGCGCGGCCGGGUUAUAUAGGGGCGG
rnacentral:lncRNA from 1 species